rnacentral:rRNA from 1 species
UGCUACUUGGAUACCUGUAGUAAAUCUAGAGCUAAUACAUGCCUCUAAACCCGACUUUUUGAAGGGUGGUGUUUAUUAGAAUUUUCAAACCAAUGAUGAAGUUUACUUCAUGUUUGAUGACUCAUGAUAAAUUUACGAAUCGCAAGACUUUAUGUUGGCGAUGUAUCAAUUAAAUUUCUGCACUAUUAACUUUUGAUGUAAGUGUAUUGUACUUACAUGGUUUUGAUGGUUAACGGAGGAUUAGGGUUUGAUUCCGGAGAGGGAGCCUGAGAAAUGGCUACCACAUCCAAGGAAGGCAGCAGGCGCGCAAAUUACCCAAUCUCAAUACGAGGAGGUAGUGACAAUAAAUAACAAUGCAGGGCUUUUUAAGUCUUGCAAUUGGAAUGAGUACAAUUUAAAACCCUUAACGAGAAACAAUUGGAGGGCAAGUCUGGUGCCAGCAGCCGCGGUAAUUCCAGCUCCAAUAGCGUAUAUUUAUGUUGUUGCAGUUGAAAAGCUCGUAGUUGGAUUUGAGGUUUAGGGAUAUGGUCUCAUCUUCGGAUGUUGUACUGUAUUUCUUUAUCUUUUACAUGAGAAGGUAUUCUGUUCUUUAUUGGAUGGUUUAUUGACUCAUGUCUUUUACUUUGAAAAAAUUAGAGUGUUCAAAGCAGGCUUAUGCCUUGAAUACAUUAGCAUGGAAUAGUAAGAUAGGACUUUUGUCUAUUUUGUUGGUUUUUAUGGACUGAAGUAAUGAUUAAUAGGGGCAGUUGGGGACAUUAAUAUUUAAUUGUCAGAGGUGAAAUUCUUGGAUUUAUUAAAGAUUAACUACUGCGAAAGCAUUUGUCAAGGAUGUUUUCAUUAAUCAAGAACGAAAGUUGGGGGAUCGAAGACGAUCAGAUACCGUCGUAGUCUCAACCAUAAACUAUGCCGACGAGAAAUUAGUGAAUGUUUAUUCAUUGACUUCAUUAGCUUCUUCCGAGAAAUCAAAGUUUUUGGAUUCUGGGGGGAGUAUGGUCGCAAGGCUGAAACUUAAAAGGAAUUGACGGAAGGGCACCACCAGGAGUGGAGCCUGCGGCUUAAUUUGACCCAACACGGGAAAACUUACCAGGUCCAGACAUAAGAAGGAUUGACAGAUUGAGAGCUCUUUCUUGAUUUUAUGGGUGGUGGUGCAUGGCCGUUCUUAGUUGGUGGAGUGAUUUGUCUGCUUAAUUGCGAUAACGAACGAGACCUUAACCUACUAAAUAGCUACGUGAAACC